rnacentral:rRNA from 1 species
GACGUAGGGCGCGAGCGUUGUCCGGAUUUAUUGGGCGUAAAGAGCUCGUAGGCGGCUUGUCGCGUCGACUGUGAAAACCCGUGGCUCAACCAUGUGGUCUGCAGUCGAUACGGGCAGGCUAGAAUUCGGUAGGGGAGACUGGAAUUCCUGGUGUAGCGGUGAAAUGCGCAGAUAUCAGGAGGAACACCAAUGGCGAAGGCAGCUCGCUGGGACGUUACUGACGCUGAGACGCGAAAGCGUGGGGAGCAAACAGG